UUUUCCCCUAGCCGCCACCUUUCUUCUUCCCUGCCUCCUCCCUCACGGCAGCAGCCCUUCUUCCCACGGCUGCAGCAAGGAGCUCGGCUCCUCCUCUUCCAUGGACGUCGCCCUCUCUCCCAUGGCGUGAUGCCGUGCUCCUCCAACCAGUGCCUCCAUCUCCCACCCGGCCUCCUCCCUCUCUGCGAUCCCCAUGGCCGUCUGGCCCUGCACAGCGAUCCCCCCCUGGCUCCACCGUGCAGAGCAGUUUCUCCGGGUCCAAACUCGAGCAGUGGCCCGCCGUCGCCCAUGGACGACCUCCAUGGAGGCCGUGCCCCUCUCCCUUCUUCUCCCCUGCUCGUUCUCCCUUACGCAGCAGCUCCCAUUCCCCAGCGACCUCCUCUUCGCCGUCGUCCAUGGUGUUCCUGCGAACCUCCCUGUCCAUGGCCGCCAAUCCUUGCGCCCUCCUCUGCGCAGCGCCCCUGUUCCCCUGCUUUUUUUUCCGAGCCUCCAUGGACGCCAACAGCCGAUCUCAUGGCAUGCUGCCCCCAGCCCAGCGUCCAGCUCCUCCAUGGGCGCUCCCUGUUUUCUUCCACGCGCAGCAGCAGGAAGCUCAACUAAGCUCCCUCCCUUCCCUGCUCGCCCCUUCCUCCUUUUCCCUGGUGCGGCAGCAAGGAACCCCUGCUCGGAUUGCAGCCACGGCGUCCAAGUCCCUGCGCCCAGUUCUUCGAUCCAAAAGCAGCAGCCCUGCGCAGCGCCGCUGCUCCAUCUUCCCCACAAAACAGCACCCGCAGCGAGUCGCUGUCGCCCAUGGCCGAGCC
rnacentral:misc_RNA from 1 species